AGAGAUGAGUGGCGAACGGGUGAGUAAUACAUAGGUAACCUGCCCCUGUGCGGGGGAUAACAGGAGGAAACUCCUGCUAAUACCGCAUAGCCAUGAGCACCGCAUGGAGCUCAUGGCAAAUAUCCUUUAUGGGAUAGCGCAGGGAUGGACCUAUGGCGCAUUAGCUGGUUGGCGGGGCAACGGCCCACCAAGGCAACGAUGCGUAGCCGGCCUGAGAGGGCGGACGGCCACAUUGGGACUGAGACACGGCCCAGACUCCUACGGGAGGCAGCAGUAGGGAAUUUUCGGCAAUGGGGGAAACCCUGACCGAGCAACGCCGCGUGAGCGAAGAAGGCCUUCGGGUCGUAAAGCUCUGUUGUAAAGGAAGAACGGCGCAUACAGGAAAUGGUAUGCGAGUGACGGUACUUUACCAGAAAGCCACGGCUAACUACGUGCCAGCAGCCGCGGUAAUACGUAGGUGGCGAGCGUUAUCCGGAAUCAUUGGGCGUAAAGAGGGAGCAGGCGGCCGCAAGGGUCUGUGGUGAAAGACCGAAGCUAAACUUCGGUAAGCCAUGGAAACCGGGCGGCUAGAGUGCGGAGGAGGAUCGUGGAAUUCCAUGUGUAGCGGUGAAAUGCGUAGAUAUAUGGAGGAACACCAGUGGCGAAGGCGACGGUCUGGGCCGCAACUGACGCUCAUUCCCGAAAGCGUGGGGAGCAAAUAGGAUUAGAUACCCUAGUAGUCCACGCCGUAAACGAUGGUCACUAAGUGUCGGGGGUCAAACCCCGGUGCUGCAGUCA
rnacentral:rRNA from 1 species